CACCCAAUCACCCGCGUCUCGCGGCUCUUGCCCCACCCCAGCCACCAAACAUGGAACCCUAGCCUCCUUUCUCCUUCCCCUCGACCCCCACGAGCCACUGCACCCCUCCCUCUCCCUUCCGUGCGUGUGCUCGGCCAAGGACGCCGCCGUCGCCCUCGGCUCCUCCUCCACCACCUCGCCUUUUUCUCCUCCUCGCCUUCCCAUCGCUCGCGUGCAUGUCGCCGCCGUCGGAGAACAGGAUUGUGCGGGUCGCUUCCUCCUUUUCCUCCCGCCGGAUCUAAGGCGUGCGGUCGUGGAGCCGAGCCUCUCCGGUGGCGGCGGCAAAGGGUGACCACAUGGAUCGGUCCUUGCAGGAGAGAGAGAGAGAUGCGAGAGAGGGAGAGAAUGAAGGAGAGGAGGGAGGCCCGGCAGCGACGGGAGAGGGUCACCGACCGGCGCCGGCGAGGUCAGGUGCGACCUGGUGGUUGGUGGUGGCUUGAUCCACUCCUGGAUCCUUCUUCCACUUCUCCACUGCCUAAUAUGGGGCACCGGUCAGGGAGCACGGGAUCGAUGUUCUGCGGCUCGAGGUUUGCUUCCUUUCUGAGAAGAAGCAGGAGCAAAGCAUAUGCUUGCUCUUCCAUGGUGAGUUUGGAGUUUACCCUCUGUCCCUGGAAGUUGAAAUUGGCUAUCAUGCAAGCGAUGGCCUUUUCUUAGCCAUGGAAUACAAAGGAAGCUACAAAAUUGUCAUAUCGCAUUUUCUUGAGAUAUCCGUCAAGGGAAUCUGAUUGUACCCAAAUGUGAUAGGUCCCACUCUUCGGCAGCUUGAAUUCGAAGUUGUAGUGGCUAAACAAGAUUAGGAUCAUGUUUAUGAUGGGUUUUCCAUCGAUACAGAGGUAUGAAUCAUAUGGUUGACAUUGGUAAAAACUCUCAGUGAGCGCCCUACCUCCUGAAUUUAAUAGUGAGAAGCUGUAUAUUACUUUUAGGUGUAAACAAAUAGUAAAAGAUGAGGUAGCCGUCUCCUACUGAAUUAAUAGUGAGAAGCCUACCAGCUGAAUUUUAUUCUUACAUGAUAUGUGAUAUGAAGUAUUAUUUAUAUUUACUAUUUAGGAUGUAUGCAUAUAUGUUACUGGCUAGCAUGAUACCGUCUCCUACUGAAUUAAUAGUGAGAAGCCUACCAGCUGAAUUUCAUUCUUACAUCAUAUAUGAUAUGAAGUAUUAUUUAUAUUUACUAUUUAGGAUGUAUGCAUAUAUGUUACUGGCUAGCAUGAUACUGUUAGCGGAAGCUGUAGUGCUUUUUAUGGUCGACGGUGGCAUGCCGCUCCAAGCCACACUGCUUUCCAUCAACGCCGACAACCACAACAGGGAUGGAUCCAGCCGCCAAGAGGCACGGCGGUGGCCUGCUCCCAAGCUGCAGGCUUAUUUGGUUCUGAUCGGAAGAUAAUUGGACCAGCUAAAGGAGAACUUUCCUGAACUAUUUCUUAUUUGUUUGUGCAACCAGGAUUAUUUGGUUCUGAUCAGAAGAUAAUUGGACUAGCUAAAGGAGAACUUUGCUGAACUAUUUCUUUAUUUGUUGGUGUAACCAUGCUUAUUUGCUUCUGAUAAUUGGACCGGCUAAAGAAGAACUUUGCUGAACUAUUUCUUUAUUUGUUUGUGCAACCAGGCUUAUUUGGUUCUGAUCGGUUUCUUGCCUAGGUUGUAUAAUGUCUCCUCUCUGCUCUCGUUCCCUCCUUACCUUCACCCAUCUUCAGGCGCAAAUGGAGCUGCGGCAGUGACGUCAUCACCUGGUAUUGCACUUCUACCCCCUGGCUUGAACCUGAAACCUCCAUGUGCUCUGUAGGUGUAGAUUCAGACGUCACCAAAGCCCUUUUUGUGGGAUUUACAAAAUUCAUUCAGUAACAUUGUAAAUGGGUGUAAAUUCAGACGUUGCCAAAGUCAAGUUUGUCCUACUGAUUUCCUUGGUAUUCCAUAUAUUAUGUGCCCUGUAGGCCUUAUUGCUUUCCUAGCUUGGUAAGUUAGUAUGCAUGAAUUUUGUGGGUGUGUGUGCAUUUGGAUGCUGGCUUAGAUGUCAUGCUACUUAGCUCAUUAGUUUGCUUCCCAUCUUGCUUCCAUGUUUUUUAUUCACCAUGUUAUCUUUAGCCUUCCACGCCACUGAUUUGGUUGGUUUAUUUCCUUGCAUAGUUCUCCUUGUUUGCCACUAAUAAAUACAACAAUUAUGUGAUGUCUGUAUUUAUAAUUUUAGCUAAUGUGUCUCUUUUAUUAUUAUUAUCAUCCUCUAUGGUUAAUCACACAUUUCAUUGUUGUGCUUCGAAGUCUAUGGUGUAGUACAUGCAACAUGAUACAAUCCGCAAUGGUUAAUAAAACUAAAUAUGAUAGCAAAUGAAAACUAUUGUGAUGCAUUGAACUAUGAUGGACACAUAACAAAAGGCGUGCAAUAACUCUAACUUUAUUCCACUGACGAGAUGCGUCAAAUUUAUUGUACAGUAUGUUCUAAAUUUAUUCCACUGACAAGAUGUGUCAAAUUUAUUCAAUGUUUUUUGUAUUGUGGUCGAUGCAGUCCCAUUCUUCAACCACAAAACAUUAGGGAUUUCAUUUCUUAUGUCUUCGGGUGCAAAAGUUGCCUUAUAUGAUGCAUCAAGAGCUUGGUGAACUGUUUUGCGUUUUGUUGUUUUUCAGUAUAGAAAAUAUAUUAGUCCAAUUUUUUUCCCUUGACAAAGCUUCCAUUUCUUAUGAUUCAUUAACUGAAGAGCCAUGAUUGAUUUCCCAAUAUACAAUUUUUAUACUGUUUUUGCUAGAGCAUUGUGCAAUGUGGAUAAGCUGAUCGCUUCUGUUUUGGUUACAGGGAAAUGCCUCUUCCUUUUCUAGCAUUUGCAUUUGCUUACAGGGAAAUGCAAGCGGGACCUGUUUUGGUUCGAGUAAUUAUGCUAGGAAAUGUAGUCAGAGGUUUAGCCUACAAAAUUAAUCUGUACACGCUAUGAAGUAAUGGAACAUUAUAUGUUUUUGUAGCAGACCAAAAUAACAAAAUUAGUGAAGAUCCUAACAACAAUAAUCGAAUGAUUCAUAUAGAAAUCAGGUUUCCCUCUCAGGUGGGGAGGGACAGAUGUGGCUGCAUCAACGAAGUGACAGAAGAAGGCUGCGUUGGUUGUACUCCGGGCACUGCCGCCUCCAUCCCUGCUCCAUCAGGUUUUCUAUUAAAGGGAAUUAAACCAUGGAUAUUUUUUCAUCACAUACAUGGAUUUAUCGUGCCUCUGCGCCAUUUGGCUCAACGGGUCAUCAGACACGAUCACAACAUCAUAUAUAUUGAGUGACUAUGAACUUCGAUACAGACAAAAAAGAAAGAUCAUGAACAAUAAAAUAUAUAUUUGCUCAAAUUUUUGUUUUCAAUGGCAAGCAAAUAAUUUGUUUACUUAGGAAAUGAUGUUUCAUGUCACACACACCAAAGUAAGAAACAGAUUCCUUCCUCUUUACUUGCAGAGAUCAACAAAUUAUUGCGCUUACCUGAUACAAUUAUUUUCUUUUGUUUGGAGCGUUCCCUGUGAUCGUCAGGGAUAUCCUGCAGAACAAUACGGAAAUCCAUCAUCGGCAAAAAUAUCGAGUAGAAAUCAAGCACGCGUAAUAGGAGUGCAUAUGGACGAUCUGUCUACUCUCUGGUCUAUUUUUAAACAGACAUGUUGGCCUUUUCUUACAUAAUCAGCCUACUGUUUCUAUUCCUCGCAGGUCAUUUCACUUUCUGUCAAUAGGCAUUGAUCUCCAUGUUAACUUGGUGUAAGGUAGUCUUGACGAUGUGUUGAGGCGGUCUGCUCAGUGACCGUUAGUAAGGUUGCUCAUCGGCAAGCGAAAGAGCUUUGUGCAUUCUUGCAUGGUUAAGGAAGAAUUUGUUAUUUGAAGUAUGCACUACAGAUAUUGCAAGUCUACUUCAGUAAUGCUGUGGCAUGCCGCAAAACAACCACAUUUUGCUGCUGUGAUUUGGUCCAUCCUGUGCAUUUCAGUUCCUGGUGAUCUCCAAUGUUUGUCAGCUAAUGCCACCAGGAGGGCUGCCCACCCAAGACUUGUAAUGUGGGCAUCGGUACUGUCCUUUGACAUAUUUGGAAGUCACUGUCGUUUCAACUCCGUCAGGUGCCAGGCCAAGGAUGUUACUCAUCGCUGCUGUGAAGACCUUGCGGUGUGGUGUCGGUCGUUCACAUCUUAUACUAGAAUAUAUAAACUGAGCAUCAUGUCUGCAUCCAUGCUAUUUUUUGGUUUUCUUUAAUCUAACCACCAAUAGUAUGAUAUAUAGGAUCUCUGGACAAACAACCACAAUGGGAGCAUUGUUUGGUGCAGCACUAACAAUAGCCACUACAAUGACCAGUGAAGCUACAAAUUAACAGCUGGAGCAAGGAAAAGGACCUUCGAGAGUAUGGAAUAAUGAAUACAAUGUAUUGUCUAUAGUUCCAACUCCUAAUGUCAACUUAAUGUCAACCUCCCUCUUGAUCCAACUAGGAACAUAAAAACCAAAUGGGAUAUCAUUGAGUGGACUUUAGAUGGCCAUGCUGAUAAUCUGACACCUAAUAAGGAUCAAGAGAACAACAGAGAUGCUAAGAGGCAACAUUUUGGGUUUAAGGAUAUAAACAACAUGGCUUACGAGGAUUUGGACUGCUGUUAUUUUAGUUCCACUCUUAAAUAUUUUGGUUCUUGAAGGCCUGACUUUCCUGGUGGAGUAGGAGCAAAAUAAUCCAGAGGCUUUAAAGCUGCUGCACUUUAGUAGUUAGGAUCAAUUCUUUGUUUUGGUUUGAAAUGCUCCCCAAUUCCUCCUAUUUGAUUGAUUCAUCUGAUGGUCAUUUGUCAGGCAAAUAAACAGAAGGCAUAUGUAUUGUUUUGAGUGAAGCCAUCCAUACAAGUCGAUAUAUUAAUUAUCCCAUAUGUGGAAUUCAAGAUAUAGAGAAAUGUUAUUGUUCUUCUGCUAAUUGGUUGCUUGACCAAAUGUACUAUAAAUGAUGUUAUUAUUGUACCAGAUAUAGAGAAAUGUUAUUAUUCUUCAA